rnacentral:rRNA from 1 species
GAUGAACGCUGGCGGCGUGCCUAAUACAUGCAAGUCGAGCGAACAGACGAGGCGCUUGCUCCUCUGACGUUAGCGGCGGACGUGUGUGUCACAUGUGUAUCACCUACCUAUAUGACUGGUAUCACCUCGGGACACCGGCUCUAAUACCGGAUAAUAUAUUGCACCGUAUGGUUCAAUAGUGAAAUACGGCUUUGCUGUCUCUUAUAGAUGCUUCGGCGCCGUAUUAGCUAGUUGGUAAGGUAACGGCUUACCAAGGCAACGAUGCGUAGCCGACGUGAGAGGGGGAUCGGCGACACUGGAACUGAGACACGGUCCAGACUCCUAAGGGAGGCAGCAGUAGGGAAUGUGACGCAGUGGGCGAGAGCAUGACGAAGCAACGGCGCGUGAGAGAUGAAGGUCUUCGGAGCGGAAAACUCUGUUAUUAGGGAAGAACAGAUGUGUAAGUAGAUGAGCAGGUAGUGACGGUACCGAAUCAGAAAGCAACGGCUAACUACGUG